rnacentral:sRNA from 1 species
UCGACUAUCGCCUCGACGACCCGUCGGUC